CAGCAGUCGCCGCGGUAAUACGAGGGGGGCAAGCGUUGUUCGGAUUUAUUGGGCGUAAAGGGUGCGUAGGCGGUUUGAUAAGUCUGAUGUGAAAUCCCCGGGCUCAACCUGGGAAUGGCAGUGGAUACUGGCUCGCUAGAGUGUGUCAGAGGAUGGUGGAAUUCCCGGUGUAGCGGUGAAAUGCGUAGAGAUCUGGAGGAACAUCAGUGGCGAAGGCGGCCAUCUGGGACAACACUGACGCUGAGGCACGAAAGCGUGGGGAGCAAACAGGAUUAGAUACCCGCGUAGUCCCUGUCUCUUAUAC
rnacentral:rRNA from 1 species